GUUCAAGUCCCUAUUUUGGCAUGUGUGAUGGUGUAGUGCAGCUGAUUGAAAUGAGUAACCAAAAUGUGAUGGUGCUGUGCAGCUGAUUGGCAUUGACAUCGGCCAAUUGGCACGUAGCACCGCCUUUUUAAACCUGAUUGGUCGGUGCUUGGGAUACGUCACGUCCGACUCCGACGCACUGGUUUGGGUGUCUGUAGCCGCGGCUACAGUGCAUCGUGUGGCGGUGGCUUUUCCCUUGGCUGUGGUGGCUGGAUGACUGUUCAGUUGCAGCUAUUAAUUCCGGCACCUCGCUGUAUUGUAUCGACCAACGCGUGAUUAGAACGUGUCUGAGUGUGCGCCCAUUGGAACUGAGGUUUCCCCCGGUGGAUGACGGGUCACUUUCCACUGGUGGUGGUGUUUCUCUAUCGUGUGCUGUGGACACUGAGUGCGUGAUAGCGUGAUUUUUGAGUGCACUGUGGUGUGUGCGUGUGCUGGGGUAAAGUCUGUCCACUCGUACCCAGUCAGUGGGAACCUCCAAUCCUGGUUUGGUUUUGUUUAUUUAUUGUUUCUUGUGUUUAAUAAUGAAGUGGGAGUUUUUGAUGUGUUUUUAAGAACCGUACCAUUUGAUAGUUUUAUUCCAAAUAAAUAUUUUUGUACUUUUUCAUUAACUCACGUCUCUGUGCCUUUCUGGGAGAAACGAACCUGUGUCCUUUUCUAAUAGUUGUUUCCCUGGGUAACUCCCGGGGUGGCGUAGUCGGUUAUUUUUAUUUAAAGAGAUUUAAACCCUACUCUAUACCCUCG